rnacentral:rRNA from 1 species
GACGAACGCUGGCGGCGUGCCUAAUACAUGCAAGUUGAGCGCUGAAGGUUGGUACUUGUACCAACUGGAUGAGCAGCGAACGGGUGAGUACCGCGUGGGGAAUCUGCCUUUGAGCGGGGGACAACAUUUGGAAACGAAUGCUAAUACCGCAUAAAAACUUUAAACACAAGUUUUAAGUUUGAAAGAUGCAAUUGCAUCACUCAAAGAUGAUCCCGCGUUGUAUUAGCUAGUUGGUGAGGUAAAGGCUCACCAAGGCGAUGAUACAUAGCCGACCUGAGAGGGUGAGCGGCCACAUUGGGACGGAGACACGGCCCAAACUCCUACGGGAGGCAGCAGUAGGGAAUCUUCGGCAAUGGACGAAAGUCUGACCGAGCAACGCCGCGUGAGUGAAGAAGGUUGUCGGAUCGUAAAACUCUGUUGGUAGAGAAGAACGUUGGUGAGAGUGGAAAGCUCAUCAAGUGACGGUAACUACCCAGAAAGGGACGGCUAACUACGUG